UCGGGAAUUUUGGGCAAUGGGCGAAAGCCUGACCCAGCAACGCCGCGUGAGGGAUGAAGUAUUUCGGUAUGUAAACCUCGAAAGAAUGGGAAGAAUAAAUGACGGUACCAUUUAUAAGCUCCGGCUAACUACGUGCCAGCAGCCGCGGUAAUACGGAGGGAGCAAGCGUUGUCCGGAUUUACUGGGCGUAAAGGGCGCGUAGGCGGCGCGGUAAGUCACUUGUGAAAUCUCUGAGCUUAACUCAGAACGGCCAAGUGAUACUGCUGUGCUAGAGUGCGGACGAGNCAACCGGAAUUCUUGGUGU
rnacentral:rRNA from 1 species